rnacentral:rRNA from 1 species
UACGUAGGGGGCAAGCGUUAUCCGGAUUUACUGGGUGUAAAGGGAGCGUAGACGGCAGCGCAAGUCUGGAGUGAAAUCCCAUGGCUUAACCAUAGAACUGCAUUUGAAACUGCCAUGCUGGAGUGCCGGAGAGGUAAGCGGAAUUCCUAGUGUAGCGGUGAAAUGCGUAGAUAUUAGGAGGAACACCAGUGGCGGAGGCGGCUUACUGGACGGUAACUGACGCUGAGGCUCGAAAGCGUGGGGAGCAAACAGG